rnacentral:tRNA from 1 species
GGAGAUGUGGCCGAGUGGUCGAAGGCGCUCCCCUGCUAAGGGAGUAGGCCCGGAAGGGUCUCGAGGGUUCGAAUCCCUUCAUCUCCG